UGUGUCGUGUGGUUCACUCUUUCACUCUUUCCAAACAGGAGCACAACCAACAGAAAAGGAAGCCAAAAGAUGUUCAAAAAAUUAAAUAAGCUUCCUAAAGAAGGAACUAAAGAAGCCGAUGAAAAAUGGGUGAAAGGGAAACUAAAAAAGCUUAAGGUUGAGAAACACACUACAGGUGAAACCUUUGGGGCAGAUGAAGCUUUGAUGAAAAAAAUUGCUAAGAAGUUCAAGGGAGUGAAAACAAAGAAGAUGAAGCAACACUACACUAUCGUUUUCUGUCCCAUCACAUCUCGUGUUGGAUCAGAUGUGGAGGCAGCCUUGGAAACUGUGAAAAAGGACCAAAAUAUUAUCCUGGUUUUGAUGCACCACACACGGGAUACUGACUACUCAACUGCUGGGAUUGACUGGUCUGAAACCACCAAUAAUGUUUGCCUGGAUGUUCAUGUUCUCUUCCAUGAAACCUUUGCAGGUUUGCUGUUCUGUCCACAGAAUGAGCAGGCAGUAGAUGAAAUUAAAAAAUUCUUACGAAAAAGCUCACAAGGUAAUGAUAAAACAAAACGAAACAAAAAAAUAAAGCAGAAAAAACCAAAAGGCAACCAACCCAAAUCCUAGAAUGUUGAUAAAUAAAUAUGAAAAAAAAAAUUAAUUUUGAAAUUCAAAAAAACUGAAAUGUUAUUUUAUUGUAGGAUCAAAAUGGGUAAAAAUGUAUAUAAAAAUAUGUAGUUAAACAUGCUAUUUCUGGCAACAACCAGGGUUGCUCAGCUUUGGCCCCAAAACAGGGAUAGAUAGAAAAGAAGAUCAUGUCGGUUCACAUUUUUUUUUAGGGCAAAACUAUUCUUUGUAGCAUAAAUAUAAUUUUUUAUUCUCCUACAGCCCCUCUGUUUGCUCAUGUUUCUGUUUUGUCUUUUUGCUUCUAUUAGUCAAAUUACCUUAAGUCAGUGGCUUCAUUUUAUUAUUUUAAAUGGGGCAUGCAGGUGGCGCAGUGUUUAGUGUGCACCACCCAUGUACGGAUGCUUUCGUGGGUUUGAAUCCAGCCUGUGGUCCAUUGUUGCAUGUCUCUCCCCUUCUCUCAUAACCCCCUUCCUGUCAGCCUACUGUCAGAAAAAACAAGCCACUAGUGCCCUAAAAAAAAAGAAAAAAUUAUGUAUAAAUGCACAUGGACUUUUUUUCUGUAUGGUUCUUGAUUUCCUGUUAUGCUGGUGUACUUCUUAGCGCUUGACACUGGACCACUUGGGUGUCCAACCAAACUUCAUUCUUAAGGAAUCAUUUUAGUAUAACCACCUGGACAACACCAUUGCUGGUUAAAGUGUACACAUUGAUUUUAAUAAUCUGGGUUACUUGCACUGGCCACACCACACCGCACAGCAGUCAGAGUGAUGCUAGGAAUUAUUUAGGUUCGGCGAUCCUGUGUCAAGCCCCCAAAUAAACAGGAAAAGCCCGGCACCAGACAGAAAAGAAUUAUAAGAUUCAUU